rnacentral:rRNA from 1 species
GACGUAGGUGGCGAACGUUAUCCGGAAUCAUUGGGCGUAAAGGGUGCGUAGAUGGCAUGAUAAGUUAUUAGUGGGAAAUCGAGGCUCAACCUCGUGGAAGCUAGUAAUACUGUUUUGCUUGAGUGCAGAGGAGGUUAACGGAACUCCAUGUGGAGCGGUAAAAUGCGUAGAUAUAUGGAAGAACAUCAAUAACGGCGAAGGCAGUUAACUAUUCUGUUACUGACAUUGAGGCAUGAAAGCGUGGGGAGCAAAACGG